rnacentral:misc_RNA from 1 species
CGGACUUAACAGUUUUGACAUGAGGAAGAGUUUUGAAGGAAAGGAGUUCAGGAACAACUAUGGGUUAGGUGCCAAAGCGGUACGUUAUGAAAGGAUACUUAGGGAUCCUCUAUCGGAGUUGAGACAGUUACUUAACAAUGAAAUUCAGGUAGUCUCUACGAGACUCCCCGGCUUGUCUAAGGACGAAGGGCGAGAUCUGUGAGUGUUAGCGAGACGAUCUUUUGUCCGUUCUUUUGGCUUUAAACUCAGAGGAGAAAGAAAUUAUAGACACUAAUCUAAUUAGAUCUGCUCUUCAUAGAACGGCGGGGUCAACCUUAGAGAGAAGCGCUUUUGCUACUGAGA